UGGGGGAUAACGUAGGGAAACUUACGCUAAUACCGCAUACGACCUACGGGUGAAAGCAGGGGACCUUCGGNCCUUGCGCGAUUGAAUGAGCCGAUGUCGGAUUAGCUAGUUGGCGGGGUAAAGGCCCACCAAGGCGACGAUCCGUAGCUGGUCUGAGAGGAUGAUCAGCCACACUGGAACUGAGACACGGUCCAGACUCCUACGGGAGGCAGCAGUGGGGAAUAUUGGACAAUGGGCGCAAGCCUGAUCCAGCCAUACCGCGUGGGUGAAGAAGGCCUUCGGGUUGUAAAGCCCUUUUGUUGGGAAAGAAAUCCAGCCGGCUAAUACCUGGUUGGGAUGACGGUACCCAAAAGAAUAAGCACCGGCUAACUUCGUGCCAGCAGCCGCGGUAAUACGAAGGGUGCAAGCGUUACUCGGAAUUACUGGGCGUAAAGCGUGCGUAGGUGGUUGUUUAAGUCUGUUGUGAAAGCCCUGGGCUCAACCUGGGAACUGCAGUGGAAACUGGACAACUAGAGUGUGGUAGAGGGUAGCGGAAUUCCCGGUGUAGCAGUGAAAUGCGUA
rnacentral:rRNA from 2 species